rnacentral:rRNA from 1 species
UACGGAGGGUGCAAGCGUUAAUCGGAAUUACUGGGCGUAAAGCGUGCGCAGGCGGCUUUGUAAGCCAGAUGUGAAAGCCCCCGGGCUUAACCUGGGAAUGGCAUUUGGGACUGCAAGGCUGGAGUACGGCAGAGGGAGGUGGAAUUCCAGGUGUAGCAGUGAAAUGCGUAGAUAUCUGGAGGAACACCGGUGGCGGAAGGCG